AUUGAACGCUGGCGGCAGGCCUAACACAUGCAAGUCGAACGGUAGCACAGAGAGCUUGCUCUUGGGUGACGAGUGGCGGACGGGUGAGUAAUGUCUGGGAAACUGCCCGAUGGAGGGGGAUAACUACUGGAAACGGUAGCUAAUACCGCAUAACGUCGCAAGACCAAAGUGGGGGACCUUCGGGCCUCACACCAUCGGAUGUGCCCAGAUGGGAUUAGCUAGUUGGUGAGGUAAUGGCUCACCAAGGCGACGAUCCCUAGCUGGUCUGAGAGGAUGACCAGCCACACUGGAACUGAGACACGGUCCAGACUCCUACGGGAGGCAGCAGUGGGGAAUAUUGCACAAUGGGCGCAAGCCUGAUGCAGCCAUGCCGCGUGUAUGAAGAAGGCCUUCGGGUUGUAAAGUACUUUCAGCGAGGAGGAAGGCAUUAAGGUUAAUAACCUUAGUGAUUGACGUUACUCGCAGAAGAAGCACCGGCUAACUCCGUGCCAGCCGCCGCCGUAAAC
rnacentral:rRNA from 1 species